GCUUCCUGAUCGAUGUGACUCAAGGGUGAGUGGCUGGUCAAGGUGAGUCAUACCUUCACCCACCCAAACAGCCAAGAAGGUGGCUCCUGAGGUGUCCCGGUCCUUGGAGAACAAAGCUGGGUGGAACCUCAGACAUAGCUUCUGACCUCAGAGCUGCCAGUGAAGGGGCAUCUGGGUGCCACCUUGGCACCUUGUGGCAGCCUUCGGUCAUGCCCCUCGGGUAAAGCUCACGGUGCCUCAUACCCAUUUGCAAAUGAAAGAGUCCUGCCGUGACAGAGGCUUUGCUCACUGUCCAGUAGCAGAGACAACAAAAUCAAGCCCAGGACAAUGAUUCCAAAGGGCAGGAGGGGGAGGGGCGGUCCAUGAGAGAGGUGGGCAAGGCCAGGUCGCCAAGCCUUCAUCAGGGACCAGGUCCUCUCAGCGUGGGCUCCUGUUCCAGCAGCUUGUCCCCAGGCUUCCUCCAAAGCAGCCUGCUCCCAGGGGUGUCCUGGAAGCCCCUGAUGGCCCAGGGGCAGUUUCUCGCAGCCCUUGCUGGUCAUUUCGUCCUUCUCUAGUCUCAUAACUGCUAAGGGUCAGUGGAUUGGCCAAGAAAAAUAAAUCAAGGAUGUUCACUCUGCCAAAAAAAAAAAGAACCUGAGCGGCAUCGGCCCAGUGGUUGCUGGACCUGUGAGCAGUGUGGAGAUGACAUGUGACUUGACCCAGCCGGCUCAGAGCUUAAAGCAAGUGGGGGGUAAAGAGCUGGCUGGGAAAUCCUGUGAGCUGCAAUCUCUGUUGACAGUGGAGAUCAAAGGCAGUCUUGGAGGGGACAGAAGGGGUAGCAACUGCAGGACCCAUGACCCGGCCUAUUCCAACAGCCCUGGCUGCCCUGGGGGCCUCUGCCUAGUGCCUCGCCAGCAGCCCCAGAGCAGUGGGGACUGCCCGGCUUAUGGCUUAUCCGUGCAUUCCAAGGGGAGCCUGAUUCCAAGGGGAGCCUGAUAAUGGAGUCUCGUCCACUGGUCUGGAGCCUGACAGACUCAUCUUUGAGAAAUGCCCCAAGGAAAAACAUAGCUUCUGUGACUACUCCCUCAGGGUCAUCUAAAGCACCGCCCUCCCCCACUUGGAGUGACCAGGAAACAGAAGCCCAGGACAGGCUGUGACUAGCUCUGAGUCACAGAAUCGUUUUCACUGAGAUAGAAACUGAAAUUGCCAGACGGGACCAUCUUCUCAGACCUUACCCGGUUGGAAGGGCAGCAGGGGUCCCCUGUCACCCAGUCAUGAACCACAAAGGGAAGGAGUUCUGCCAGCGGAGAGCCAUUCUGCAUUGUGGAAGGAGGCUGCCCCUAGGUCCUAGCUGCUAUGUACACACGGUGGAGACUCCAUGGAUUCUAGACCCUGAAGUCUACUCAGUGAGCAAACCCUUCACCCAGGCAAGGUUUGGGGGAGUGCUGACACCCAAAUUUCACCAGCUUAGUGUCAAAUAGCCAAAGAUCUCAAGACCCAAGGAGCGCUGAUUGACGUUCUAUGGCAAGAGCAAACAGACAAAAUCUCAUCUCCUUUCACAUUCACAGAAAAGCGGCUGGUAUAAGAGAAAACUGCCAAGAAUGAGCAAGUCAUUUGAGUCCAGAGACGUAGCAUCAUCUUAGCUAAUAAUAAUGUGUGAAUGCUUUUCUAUCUGGUGACUUCUGAGAAUAUUGCUUCUCUUGUUGCUAUUUUGUGGGACAUCUUGCAAACCACUGUGACUGACUCCAAAGCAAAACGGAUGAUUUAUCUUGACGAGGUUCCAAAUUGACAACUUUGAACAUUGACACUGAAAUUUGUUUCUUGGAAAAGUGGGUGUCAAAUGAUGUUCUUGGAUUACAAUGAAAUGAAAGUACUUUUGGAAAGUGGUUUAAGGAUAUUUAAAAAAUCAGACAGUAGGGCUGGGGAUGUGGCUCAAGCAGUAGUGCGCUUGCCUGGCAUGCGUGCGGCCUGGGUUCGAUCCUCAGCACCACAUACAAACAAAGAUGUUGUGUCCGCC
rnacentral:lncRNA from 1 species